rnacentral:misc_RNA from 1 species
CCAAAGGAAAACAAAACAAGCCAACCCAAGUCCAAAUGGUGGAUUCGAUGUCAACUCCACCGCCGAGGUCUGCUACGGACCUCUUCUCGGACCCACUCGACGCCCACCCUCUCUGGUUCAAACCCAAUCUCUUUCUCUCCCCAACCUUCGACUCCGAGUCCUACAUCUCGGAGCUUCGCACCUUCGUUCCCUUCGAUACGCUCCGUUCGGAGCUCCAGGCCCACCUUGCCUCCCUCAACCACGAGCUUAUCGACCUCAUCAACCGUGAUUAUGCCGAUUUCGUCAAUCUCAGUACCAAGCUCGUCGAUGUCGACGCUGCCGUGGUGCGCAUGCGGGCCCC